ACACCAGUUCGUUUAUUUGCUUU
rnacentral:miRNA from 1 species